UGCAGCUCUGCUGGUGCUGGAAGUGGACGGUAUUGCAAUAUGAAUGAAGGAGCAGCUGCUGAUGGGAGGCAGGAAGUCCAGGCUCAUGAACGCUGAGGCAUCUGCCAGUACGGUACCAGAGGAGGCAGUAGUGACGUUGGGGGGCAGUCGCAGAAGAAGAUGAGGAGUUCCCCAGCAGGAAGCCACAAACCCGGCAGAAACCUGCAGGGAGAAUCGCAGCAUGUAAGCGGCGCGGCGCGGUUCCCCGCGGUUGGGAGCAGCAGCCAGCAGGCUGCCAGAGAUCCCACCGCGCCUUCCAGCGCACAGAGGGACGCAACAGGGACGGACGGUCCUUCAUGCCAUACAGAAGUGAGUUUCUUCAGCCCUCUGUCGUGAAGUGUGGAGGAAUGAAUUUUGAGUAUUCCUUCUGGGCGGGUGCAGCGCUUCAGGGGAUGUCAAAUGAGCAUGCAUUUGGAGUGCAGGAAGGAGCAGUGAGAAGUGAACUAUCAAUCAGUUUGUGUUUGGGCUGUCCAAGUAGCCUCUUUCUGUUUUCUGGGGGGACGUGGGCAUACUGGGCAGUACUUCUGCUGCCUGCUGGUGUCUGUGAAAUCAACACACCAUCUGUUGUUGUAGGGACGGAGCCUGCGCGUCCGUGGAGUGGUGCUGGGCAAGGCUGGAAACGGAAAGCCUCCGCAGGUAAGAAGCUCUUGCGAGCUGUGCUGACUGCAGAAGCGGCAUAAUGUUGUAGCAGCAGAAAGGCAAGCUGAAGAAACUGCUCUUGAGGAUUAGAAGACUGUGGUUGGCUGUGCUCAAAUCUUCCGCCACAGAGAUGCUCUUCAUGUCUUUCUUGUCUCCUUUCUGCCAGAAGCUGAUGCGAGCGGCCUUCCAUCAAAGCGCAGCCUUGCAGAAAGGCAAGGCAGAAGCGCCCAGUGUGGCACAGCACCAAAGAGAGGUACGGACACACAGCAGGCACCUGGGUUUGGUGCACUGUCUCUCUAGUGAGGCUUUCUGUCCGUCCUUUCCUGGGACUGUGGCCGUUGUGUGUUGGUUGUGGUCUUAAUCCCUGGCAUGUACAGUAAGCAUUCCUGUGCUGAUUAGAAAUGUGAACCCACAGUCCAGCCAAGAUCCUAUGAUCCAUGACCGUGAGCACUCGAGAUGAGAUGUCCUGGUAUUGUGACCC
ensembl:lncRNA